GUCGGCUGCUGUUUCUUUGACAAUUUAGAAGGUUGUGGUAGUAUCUGGUGUGAGUUCUAAAGAAGAAAAUUGGCACUACCAGGUCAAUAUGAGCUUUUCAAAGUGAUGUAUCUCAGGCCCAUCUUGGCUUGCUGCACAGAGUAUAUAAGAGGAUCAACACCUAGAGUUUUCUCAUCUCAUCUUCUAUGAAUUCGAACAGUCCAUUGAAUGAUCCUCGUUUCUCCUUUUCUUGAUCUUAUUUGUUCGAUUUCUUUAUCAAUAUGUGUUAAUCGUACUGCAGAGAUGAAAUCCAUUCUGAGUGGUUUGCAGCAAUUCGUGCAACCUAGGCAAGACAUAGCCCCGGUGGAACAUCAACCAUCUGGUGGUGGGUCAACUUCUUCGGAGACGACUCCGGCGACUCCUCCAUGUACAGCCAUGGUUCCCUAUAACCCGAUGGGCUGGAAACUGAGGAGAUCUCUGAGAACUUCGCCACUGCAUCCCCGCUUGAUGGUCCAGUUGCCCCGGUGUUCGAUCCGCCUCAUUCCACUGAUGCAUGCACAUUUUCCUCUGCCUCUCCACCACAAAACCAAGGCACAUUUAUGUCUCUGGUGGUUGAGUUCUCAGACUCAGAACCGUCGGUUGAGAUUCCAGGUCCGAGUGUUUCAUCUCAUCUUCGAAAGUGACAACCGGAAAGAGAUGCUUCGGAAGUCCCUGCUAAGCGAUCAUGUCCUGCCAGGGAGUCUAGCAAGUGUCGGAGUCGUGGUCCAUUUCUCACCCCGUUCGACCGAAAGCGCUUCACUUCUGCUGAAGCAGCUCGUAGGCACGUCUCCUUCUCUGCUCGUACCAUGGCUCCUGAAGCCUGCUCUGUUUUUUGGCGAUGAUGGGAAAGGUCAGAUCCCUGAUUGCCAAGUCUAGAUUUCUCAAGACCGUGACAGAGGUAGGUUUGUAUGUUGCUGAUGUUGUUUAUGAUUUUUGGGCUAAUCUCCCAACAGUCAAGGUGGAUACUGACUCUGUGGAUGCUCUUGUGCGUGAUUGGGUGUAUGAUUUCUCUCAUGCGAGAAUCAAUGCGUUUUUUGGGCUCCGAUAAGUGGAUAUUCAUGAGCAACAUCAGUGCACAGCUGCGAUCUUGGAGGAAGACAUAGCUCUAUUUCUCUCGGAUGGUAAGGUAAAGUAGUGUAAAUAACUGGUUCCUACAGUAGUUCGAAAUCCGGUCAUCAAAGAGCUGCACAAGCUUUGUUGCAGCAAUUGGACUCCUACGGCCAACAACGGUUAUAUCUCGGCAAGCCGAGCUAUGGUUAUCUACAUGGUUAUGCAUCAGAUACCGUUUGACUUUGGCAUGAUGGUCUAUGACCAGAUUCUCCAACUUGGCCUGCAAGCUCAGUCAACAUUCCGGUUGCCAUUCCCCUCUGAUUUACCAACUGUUCCAAACUCAACAUCCUGUGGUAAUUGAUCAAUAACCACCUCCACGAAAGACUGCGUCUAAGACAACGCUGCCCAAACUUGUGCAACCUGAUUCUAAGGCUGAUCCAGUGGCUGAUCGUAAAGCCAUGCAUCUGGCUAUCAAGAUUUUGCAGUUGGCUCUCGCAGCAGGGGAGAUGUGGACUCGGAUUCUGAUGAGUGAAGGGGUUGUUAGUUUGUGGGGGAGCUUAUUUGCUCGUUGUUUUUGCUUUGUUUUCUUUUGUUUUUUUUAUCGCUGAACUUGAACCGUUUUCUGUUUUGGUCUGUAAUAAGUUUGAACCUGGUUUUGGCACUUUGAUUGUGUAUUGUCUUUGUGUUAUUUCUGGCUCAUGUCUUGUGUC